ACCGUUUGAUCCUGGCUCAUCACGCACGCUGGCGGCAGGCUUAAUACAUGCAAGUCGAACGGCUGUAGCAAUACAGCAGUGGCAGACGGGUGAGUAACACGUGGGAACCUACCUAGGGGUACGGAAUAACUCAGGGAAACUUGUGCUAAUACCGUAUACGACCUCAGGGUGAAAGAUUUAUCGCCCCUAGAUGGGCCCGCGCUGGAUUAGCUAGUUGGUGGGGUAAAAGCCUACCAAGGCGACGAUCCAUAGCUGGUCUGAGAGGAUGAUCAGCCACACUGGGACUGAGACACGGCCCAUACUCCUACGGGAGGCAGCAGUAGGGAAUCUUGGACAAUGGGCGAAAGCCUGAUCCAGCCAUGCCGCGUGAGUGAUGAAGGCCUUANGGUUGUAAAGCUCUUUCGCCAGGGAAGAUAAUGACGGUACCUGGAUAAGAAGCCCCGGCUAACUUCGUGCCAGCAGCCGCGGUAAUACGAAGGGGGC
rnacentral:rRNA from 1 species